rnacentral:rRNA from 1 species
ACUCAAAUGAAUUGACGGGGGCCCGCACAAGCGGUGGAACAUGUGGUUCAAUUCGAUGCUACACGAAAAACCUCACCAGGGCUUGACAUGCAAGAAGUAGUGAACUGAAAGGGGAUCGACCUGUUAAGUCAGGAGCUUGCACAGGUGCUGCAUGGCUGUCGUCAGCUCGUGUCGUGAGAUGUUGGGUUAAGUCCCGCAACGAGCGCAACCAUUAUCCUUUGUUGCCACUUCAUUUCGAGCUUGCUCGAGAUGGAAGCACUCUAAGGAGACUGCCCGGGAUAACCGGGAGGAAGGUGGAGAUGACGUCAAGUCAGUACGGCCUUUAUGCCCUGGGCUACACACGUGUUACAAUGGUCGUGACAAUGGGUUGCCAACCCGCGAGGGGGAGCUAAUCUCAAAAAUACGGCCUCAGUUCAGAUUGAAGUCUGCAAUUCGACUUCAUGAAGCCGGAAUCGCUAGUAAUGGCAGAUCAGCACGCUGCCGUGAAUACGUUCCCGGGCCUUGUACACACCGCCCGU